GCAUAACGCGAAGAACCUUACCAAAUCUUGACAUCCUCUGACCCCUCUAGAGAUAGAGUUUUCCCCUUCGGGGGACAGAGUGACAGGUGGUGCAUGGUUGUCGUCAGCUCGUGUCGUGAGAUGUUGGGUUAAGUCCCGCAACGAGCGCAACCCUUAAGCUUAGUUGCCAUCAUUAAGUUGGGCACUCUAAGUUGACUGCCGGUGACAAACCGGAGGAAGGUGGGGAUGACGUCAAAUCAUCAUGCCCCUUAUGAUUUGGGCUACACACGUGCUACAAUGGACAAUACAAAGGGUAGCGAAACCGCGAGGUCAAGCAAAUCCCAUAAAGUUGUUCUCAGUUCGGAUUGUAGUCUGCAACUCGACUAUAUGAAGCUGGAAUCGCUAGUAAUCGUAGAUCAGCAUGCUACGGUGAAUACGUUCCCGGGUCUUGUACACAC
rnacentral:rRNA from 1 species